GAUGAACGCUGGCGGCGUGCCUAAUACAUGCAAGUCGAGCGAACGGACGAGAAGCUUGCUUCUCUGAUGUUAGCGGCGGACGGGUGAGUAACACGUGGAUAACCUACCUAUAAGACUGGGAUAACUUCGGGAAACCGGAGCUAAUACCGGAUAAUAUUUUGAACCGCAUGGUUCAAAAGUGAAAGACGGUCUUGCUGUCACUUAUAGAUGGAUCCGCGCUGCAUUAGCUAGUUGGUAAGGUAACGGCUUACCAAGGCAACGAUGCAUAGCCGACCUGAGAGGGUGAUCGGCCACACUGGAACUGAGACACGGUCCAGACUCCUACGGGAGGCAGCAGUAGGGACUCUUCCGCAAUGGGCGAAAGCCUGACGGAGCAACGCCGCGUGAGUGAUGAAGGUCUUCGGAUCGUAAAACUCUGUUAUUAGGGAAGAACAUAUGUGUAAGUAACUGUGCACAUCUUGACGGUACCUAAUCAGAAAGCCACGGCUAACUACGU
rnacentral:rRNA from 1 species